GCGCACGGACACGAAUUAGUUUGAAGCGCACGUCAGCUAUUAUACGCAAUCCUAACGGAUUUUGUCUAAAUUUGUGAUUGUUUUUAAAGUUUUAUAUCUUUAGUUACUUUUUAACCUGAAGAUGGAGUUAUACUCCGAAACGUAGUUAUUAAAAUAAUCUUUUUGUACUGAGCCUAUAUGGUCUAAUUUAUUCAAACACAGAAAACAUUAAAUAGUUUGAAUAAUUUGCGGUCCCAGGGGUAUCCUCAACAACGUUGCCAUUCUGAAUACAACGUGAAUGCUUGUUGCGACUUUGGAAGAGUUACAUAAAAUCUGUCGCAUAUAGCAGACACUGGAUCGUUUUUCCUGUACUUAGGUUAUUUCAAAGGGCUUCAAUUUAUUACAGCAAUCAAAUUUCUUAGCUCUCAAUCUUGAGCAGAAAUGGAGAUCUCAGACCGGCGUCGUCGUGUUUGCCCCGUCGUCUUUUCUACAUCUGCCUAAUAUUAAAACUAUAAUACUACUCCAUUACUUUCUAUAAACAUUAUUGGAUUUUUGAAUAACGUAAGAAAUUAUUAAAAAGGAAAUAAUGCUUUAUAAUAAUAUUGGGUGUGUCUGUAUAUCCAAUUCGUGAUCAGUCGAGUCAGAGGGUCAUGAUAUACACACGCGUAAAAACGCACAAGUUGCAACAAAUCUGCAGCAGGCUUGUAGCAAUGCUGGUCCAACAAUUUGUGAACAGGAUAUGUUCGCACUGCUUGUUUCCAGCUUAUUGACAAGUUUUCAGCGGCUUGUCGACAACGUGCUACAAGGUUGUGGAGCACAACAGACUUGUCAUGUUACAAGUUGUUCCAACAACUUGUUAUCGUGCGGCAAUUCAACAACUUGAUCAAAUAACAGUAUUGUUAUACAACUUGUUGACAAGCUUGCUACUUGCCUGUUGCGAACGCAUCUUGUUUUUAAACAGUUGUGAGAUUUUUACGUGUGUACAGGGAGUAUAAAAGAAAGGUAAUCCAAAUGUGUUGUAUAUAGACUUAAUUUUUAAUAUUAACAUUCACAAAAAUUUCUUAUAAUCAGCAUAAUAUUUCAUGUGGAAGGACUUUCAAGUUUAAAAAGUCAAAAUGACAGUGGACAUACUAAUGCUUGGAUUUUAAAACGUACAAUGUCAAAAGGAUAUUAAAUAAUUGUAAAGGUCUUAAUUUAAAGUUAUGUAAAGUACAUAUCAUCCUGUCAACAUGUAUAAUUAAAACCUAC